CUAGAGAUUUUAGUUCCCUGCUUUUGUAAUUUAGUUCAGAAUACAUUACGAAUCAAAUUCUUUUUCGCCGAGAAAAACGAAAGAUGGGAGUUUUUGGUUUUUCAGAUCGUCCGUUAUAGUGAUUUUGGUCGAUCAUACAAAAUUAGAAUCCAUGGACAAGUGCAGUGGUUAGGAUUCAUCAACCAGAUGUUCUCAGAAGGAAGAGCUGGAUUGGAACAAAGAAUUGGUAAAACCGAUAUAGAGUCGGGCAUGGUAUGAAGAUGUAGCACCGAUAUAUGUAUUGUACCGUUGUAAAAGCUUCAAAAAUAUUGUACAAUGCGCUUUACUGGUAGAACUCAAGUUGGAUUUUGUAAACUGCACACACCAUAAGUUGGAUUUUGUAAACUGCACACACCCUAAGUUGGAUUUUGUAAA